AUUGAACGCUGGCGGCAUGCUUUACACAUGCAAGUCGAACGGUAACAGGCCGCAAGGUGCUGACGAGUGGCGAACGGGUGAGUAAUGCAUCGGAACGUGCCCAGGCGUGGGGGAUAACGCAGCGAAAGCUGUGAUAAUACCGCAUACGAUCGAUGGAUAAAAGCGGGGGACCGUAAGGCCUCGCGCGAUUGGACCGGCCGAUGUCAGAUUAGGUAGUUGGUGGGGUAAAGGCCCACCAAGCCAACGAUCUGUAGCUGGUCUGAGAGGACGACCAGCCACACUGGGACUGAGACACGGCCCAGACUCCUACGGGAGGCAGCAGUGGGGAAUUUUGGACAAUGGGCGCAAGCCUGAUCCAGCAAUGCCGCGUGCAGGAAGAAGGCCUUCGGGUUGUAAACUGCUUUUGUACGGAACGAAAAGGUCUGGGUUAAUACCCUGGGCCGAUGACGGUACCGUAAGAAUAAGCACCGGCUAACUACGUGCCAGCAGCCGCCGUAA
rnacentral:rRNA from 1 species